UCUGGCUCAGGAUGAACGCUGGCGGCGUGCUUAACACAUGCAAGUCGAACGGUGAAGCCCAGCUUGCUGGGUGGAUCAGUGGCGAACGGGUGAGUAACACGUGAGCAACCUGCCCCUGACUCUGGGAUAAGCGCUGGAAACGGCGUCUAAUACUGGAUACGAGUAGCGACCGCAUGGUCAGCUACUGGAAAGAUUUAUUGGUUGGGGAUGGGCUCGCGGCCUAUCAGCUUGUUGGUGAGGUAAUGGCUCACCAAGGCGUCGACGGGUAGCCGGCCUGAGAGGGUGACCGGCCACACUGGGACUGAGACACGGCCCAGACUCCUACGGGAGGCAGCAGUGGGGAAUAUUGCACAAUGGGCGCAAGCCUGAUGCAGCAACGCCGCGUGAGGGAUGACGGCCUUCGGGUUGUAAACCUCUUUUAGCAGGGAAGAAGCGAAAGUGACGGUACCUGCAGAAAAAGCGCCGGCUAACUACGUGCCAGCAGCCGCGGUAAUACGUAGGGCGCAAGCGUUAUCCGGAAUUAUUGGGCGUAAAGAGCUCGUAGGCGGUUUGUCGCGUCUGCUGUGAAAUCCGGAGGCUCAACCUCCGGCCUGCAGUGGGUACGGGCAGACUAGAGUGCGAGGACACGUC
rnacentral:rRNA from 1 species